rnacentral:rRNA from 1 species
UACAGAGGGUGCGAGCGUUAAUCGGAUUUACUGGGCGUAAAGGGCGCGUAGGCGGUUGAGUGAGUGUGAUGUGAAAGCCCCGGGCUUAACCUGGGAAGUGCAUCGCAAACGACUUAACUGGAGUAGGUGAGAGGGUGGCGGAAUUUCCGGUGUAGCGGUGAAAUGCGUAGAGAUCGGAAGGAACGUCAAUGGCGAAGGCAGCCACCUGGCACCAUACUGACGCUGAGGCGCGAGAGCGUGGGGAGCGAACAGG